AGGCCCCGGGCCUGCGGCCUUGGUAGCCAGGCCACCCGCUGCCCUGAUGAGGCUGCUGGGAGUGAGUAUUCCAGCUCUGCGUGGUCCUUUCGUCUUGUGAAAGAGAAAAACAUUGAACUACAACUUUAAGCUCUUCAUUUGAAGAAAGUUACAGUUCAGACACUGGAGAUUUUUGUCACCAAUAUUUCAAGCUGGGCUCAUCCUUGGAGACCUCGACUGGGCUUCGCCUUCUUCAUUCCAGUGAGGUCACGCACCUCCACCCUGCUCCUGCCUCUGCAGCAUGGAACACAUCAAUUUCCUUGUCAGUAAGUUCUUCUAGAGAAGGAAUUCUUCUUUCCCCUACUUCGGUAUCCUCAUGUCUGAUGAUGGAUGAAUGAAUUAUGUGUGGCCCUAAGAACUCCAAGGCAAAAAUAUAAACAGUUCAGCAAAUUGCUAAAUUUUUACAUUAAUGUUCUCCUGCCAUUUUUGAGGGAUUUUCUUAAUGUCAACUAGCUCAAUGUAGGAGCUGGUCACCAAGCUGUCACGGGGCUGAGGAGUGUCAGGUGGGGAGAUAAUCUAAUACAACUACUUUUUUUUUUUUUUUUGAUGGAGUCUUGCUCUGUCGCCCAGGCUGGAGUGCAGUGGCGCGAUCUCGGCUCCCUACAAGCUCCGCCUCCUGGGUUCACGCCAUUCUCCUGCUUCAGCCUCCCAAGUAGCUAGGACUACAGGCGCCCGCCACCACGCCUGGCUCAUUUUUUGUAUUUUUAGUAGAGAUGGGGUUUCACCAUGUUAGCCAGGAUGGUCUCGAUCUCCUGACCUCAUGAUCCGCCUGCCUCAGCCUCCUAAAGUGUAAUACAACUAUUUAACUUAAAUGAUGGGACCUUAUAUGUGACUCAUUGUCUCCAUGCCCUCAUUUAUCUCUCUUUGCUCCCUAAUAGGCUUGGCUGAUAUCUUAAUAAAGUUAAUGUCUUCCUUGA